CUGUUCCAAUGAAUUAUUCAUUCACCCAGAAGUAAUCCAUUGGCUCAUUCUUGAAAUCCCCCUUUCAUCCGAUAAACUUUGUCAUGGCCCGACUAACAGCACUCGCCUCGGUAAUUGCUGCUUGUUCAAGGAUGGGACAAAGCAAUAAACUUGUCAGCACAUAUUACAAUGUGGCAGAGAUGAAGAGGAAGCAGCACUCUCCGCCCUCUCAUCUUUAUGGCAUCUAUCUGCUGCAUCACAUGUCCCCAGCCAGACAACUCAUUUCAUCUCUGCAUUAAUUCUGAAUAGAGACGGAGACACUGUGUCCACAGCGUGGGUUGGUAAAAACAGCACCCCGGUGUCGGCCUCAUUAUACAAACACGUCUGAACCCUGUACCUGGUUGUCAUCGUCUGACUCUGAAAUCCUGUCAACAGCACAGUUCAAUGUGCAGCAUUUGUUCUCAGGUAAUUUCCAUACGAGCAAUAAUACAGUUGUCCAACAGGUGGAAAUUGGCAGAUAUUUAUUAACCUGCUGUUUUAUUUACCUCCCCACUCAUCCAGUUGUGUUCCCUCAGGCAGAGUAGCUCAGUGAACUGAUGUCUAAACAUUUUUUGAAAUAUUUUUUUUUUCCAAGACGACGGUGGUUUUACCCCUGUUGUGUGUUGUGUUGCGUGUGAACGGAGUUGAUGAUGACAUAAAUAGACCUGGAUCACCCAAGGAUAAAAACAAACAGACUUCGAUUUCCAGGAGCAGAAAUUCCUCCUUAUUGUUCGGCGUGAUUGAGUCGGGAGCCUCAGACGAGCCGCGUGGCCUUCAGACAGAGAGGGACUCCAGUCACAGCUGGCGCGUGGCGCCGCAGUAAUGAGCAAACAUGACGAGAUGAAAGUGGGUCUCAUCUGCCGUGUGCCGCAGCCUCCGGAGGAACCUUGAGGAAAAAGGAAAAUUUACAGAAUUCUGCUGAAGUACUCUCAUCAUCACAUCAACAACACUUCUCAGCCUGAAAUCAGUCAGACAGGAAGCAGGUGGACCAACUGAGGAUCUCUGACCUGUGGUGGACUGGACACACCUGGUGGAGCUGCGGACCAGACGGACUGGACGGAUCAUUGGUGCCAAUGCAAGUGAUGACAGGAGAAAAUAAUUCGAUGGGAGAAAAGGAUUGGAGAAAAUAGCCACAGGUUUUAAAGCCUGAGGGGCUGCUGCAGGAUGGACAGCCCCCCCAAGGAACCUAAAGGAACCUCCUUCUUUCCCGAACACAUUCAGUGAUAAUGAGACAGAAUAUAUAUGAAGAAAAUAAAUAUGACACAUGUGGAACUAUAUUUAAAUAUAAAAAACAUGGAAAAGGAAAAGAACCAAAGUGACCACAGUUAAAAAACACAUACAAAUCAAGAACCACAGUUAAAUAUAAAAUAAAGAAAUUCAAACAUACAUAUGUAUAUAAACUGGUACUCUGGUGAACACAAAUUAGACAAGUGUUUAAGUAAAAGUUAAACCAAAACAUUUUUCAAUAAUGUUUUUUUUUAAACUGAAAACACACUUUUUCAUUCACAUCAAAUACUUUUCAUGCUCGGCUUUUGAGAUUUUGAAUUUCUAAAUAUCCUUUCAUUUUGCAAAAGAAAAAAAAUACAUGGAUGCAUGAAAAUAUUAAAUUACGAAUAAGAAAAAUGAAGUGGGCAACACGAACAAGAGUGUGGUCCAAUAUCGAGGAGACAGAACUGACAGCAGAGAUUUGUACAAAUGCCCACAGACAACACACAUCAAACACGACACCACAACAAAACACGAACCGGUUUUAAAAGUAAUGCAAAUCUGACAUGUGCUGCGAAAAGACAAAUAAUUCAAAAAAGUAAAACUGUCUCUGAGUUUCAAGUCAAUAAAAACAAACAUUUUUGUCUGAGGACACAAUACUGAGCCAUUAAUCACUAGUGUAACGUGAAGACGUUUCUAUCAAAUGAAUUCAAUAUGUGACAAACUUCUAAAAGACUUUAGCUUCAGCUUCAAUGUAGAAGUUUCUGGAGCAGCAUCUGCCUCCUUCACUGACCAAAGUUUUCAGUGGAAUUCGUUUGCACUUUGUGAAACAGCCAAAACCAACACUGUGUUCUAUUUUCACUCUGAUGCUGUUUGUUCAGUGAUGUCAACUCGUCUCAUCUGCUGGCAUAUUGUCUCCUCCCACUCACCGCCUGACUGACAUGCUGUUAUCACCACUUCCUGUUUCCAGCAGGGAGUCAUGGCCCCCACUGUCCUCUCUGCGCCCGAGGGGUUGAAGUUGGCGUGAAAGCCUCAUGUCUAUGACAACAGGAUCCUGCCAAAAGUCUUCUGCAGAAUCUUACAAUCCCUCUCUACACAUGUCUUUAUCCAAGGCCUCAUUAUCCCCAGGCUCUGGCAGUCAUCAACUGCACUGCAAACAUCCCCCGGAAUCAACUGGGAUCAGGAAUAAACAGAUUGUGAGCAUUCCAGUCCACGGGGGAGGUCCGUAUAUUUAUGUAUGUAUUUAUUUUACAAGACUCGAAGUACAGCUUUGUGAGAGGGAAGAGUAUAUUUCUGUAUAGCACCAGCUGUAUACUGUACAAUGAAGCAUCUUCAUAUACAGAAGGUAUUAACACACAUUGUCUUUACUGACACUACUGACAUGCAGUUUAUACUAUAAUCCUAUAUUAAUACUAUAAUCAAGAUUCUUCAGUCUUUCAGUAGAAAACACAAAAUGAUUAUUUGCUUGUUAAUUUUGAUUCCCUGUGUGUAUCAGACCCAGAGACUGACUUUUGCUAAGUUUGCUGUUUAUGCACCAAUGCCUUCUUAAGGUGUAAGUUUCUUUGUGGACAACCUGUGGUCAGAAGAGUCAGCAAAUAUAGAAAGUCAGAACAAAA